UACGUAGGGUGCAAGCGUUAAUCGGAAUUACUGGGCGUAAAGCGUGCGCAGGCGGUUAUGCAAGACAGAUGUGAAAUCCCCGGGCUCAACCUGGGAACUGCAUUUGUGACUGCACAGCUAGAGUACGGUAGAGGGGGAUGGAAUUCCGCGUGUAGCAGUGAAAUGCGUAGAUAUGCGGAGGAACACCGAUGGCGAAGGCAAUCCCCUGGACCUGUACUGACGCUCAUGCACGAAAGCGUGGGGAGCAAACAGG
rnacentral:rRNA from 1 species